AACCCAUUUUGAGGACAAUUUCGCAGGAUUUCAUUGAACCUUUCCCAUGUCUCGAAUAGAGACUCCAAUUCCAUUUGCACAAAGGACAAGAUCUUAUUCCUAAGCUU